rnacentral:lncRNA from 1 species
AAAUUUAAAUAAAUUUUAAAAAUUUAAAACAAAAUUUCUCAUUCCAGCUAUAUUUCAAGUCUUCAGUAGUAACUUGUGACUAGUGCCUACCAUAUUGGACAGCAGAUUAUAGAACGUUUCCAUCAUUGCAGCAAGCUCUAUCCAAUGGCACUGGAUUGUGUUGUCACAGAGGGCUCUUUGACUUAUCCCAGAUAUCCUACUACCAUAGUAGAUUUAAUAAAGCUAAACUAAACACCUUCUCUUUCAUUCCAAACCUUCUUGUCAAUAGCAGUGGCCCAGAUUAUCCAAAGCAAUGGAUGUGAUCUUGGCUCAAAAAUGUAUUUGAUACAAUUGUUUCAGGAGUCAAAUGGCAGCCCCCAGAGAAGGGAAGGGAGAGACGAUUCCACUACAAGUCCUGCUCUUUAUUGGUGUCCCCUGCAUGGAAAGUAUGUUAUAGAAUCAUAGAGAAUGUUCAAUGGGAUGGAAGUUUAGACAUCCCAUGAGGAACCUCUCCUUCCUAACUCUACGUUCAAGAGACAUCAGCAUCUUUUUCAUCUCCAUGGAUCCAGUUACCUGUGUGGCCCAUGAGAUACUCCUGAAUCAUCAUGGCAUCAUGCUUGGAGGGGAGUGACAUCAUUUCUGUGGCAGCACUUUCCAGGAUCCUUCCAGAUGGACGUAAUUAUAGAUGAAAAACACACCACAGGAGGAGACCACCUGUGGUCAUGAGAAUUUAAAAUGUGACAUGUGUAGAUUAAUAUUGCCCUGAAAAUCUAACUUCCCGAGUAAUUUUCAGUUCUUUCAAGAUGGAGUAUUCUCUCUCCUCGCUGAUGAUUUAGGAUAAUUGGAUGCCGUAAGGGGGCCUUGAGACAUCCUAUUUAAAGAGCCCUGCCUGACUACAUGAUUCACGCUGAAAGAGAAGUAGAUUAAACUUCAUGCCACUUGCAUAAAUUCCUAGUCUCUGAGAGUUUAUCUUUUCUCUUAGGAGUCUGCAAACUACAGUCCUCAAGCUAAAUCUGAC